CCACAUCUGCUCCCAAAAAGGGCUCGUCCGUCGAACUUCCUUUGUCUUUUGACUUGUUUGACGUCGACGUCGCUUGGAGGUGCCCAGUCGUCGCCACGCCAAUUUGCUUUUCUUGUCGUCCAUGGCCGUAGGCUCGAGUUCGGUGGUCCAAACUUCGCAUUACCUCGAAGGAGUCAUUAUUUUCUUGACCUGUGUCGAGAGCCCUCC
rnacentral:lncRNA from 1 species